rnacentral:lncRNA from 1 species
GCCGGUGGCCACUUAGGAGGCUCUCGCCGGGUUCGGUCCGUGGGCCACUUGCCAGCUUCCCCAGUCCUCCCCGAAGGAGCUGUCCACAUCGGCUUCCAGCUAGAGCAUCCCGGGGCUUCCGUCUCUGGCACCGGCCUUGUUUACCUCCCCUCUCCUUCUCACCCUGGAUCCCGCUCCCAGCCCCCUACACACCCCACAUUCCUGAGCUCCCCUAUCCCCGUCAUAUCCUCUUCCCUGCCAUUUCGGGCUCAUUUCCUCCAUUUGUUCUCAGCUCGUAUUUUCUUCUUUCAACGCCACGCCACACACGAGGACCCAGCCUGCUUUUUGAAGUGCACUAGGUGGUGGGGGCCCCGUGUCUGUGGGCCAGGAAUCCUGUCUCCCAGGACUCCGCUUUUCCUCCGGAGGACAUUCCGAUCGGAAUCGCUGUCGGUGGGAAUCGGAGGAGAGCCGGCGGUCCAAGUGUCAUCCAGGAAAUCCCCUAGACUCACAUUCCAGCCCCUCCCAGAAGAUACGUCUCAGGACAAGAGUGCUGCAACUUGAUCUAUCCAGAAGCACCGUGGUCUAGUGGUUAGAGCACGGGCCUGGGAGUCAGUAGGACCUGGCUUCUAUUCCCGGCUCCACCACUGUCUGCUGUGUGACCUGGGGUGAGUCACUUCACUUCUCUCUGCCUCAGUUGCCUCAUCUGUAAAAUAGGGCUUAAGACUGCGAGCGCCAUGUGGAACGUGGACUGUGUCCGGCCUGAUUAACUUGUGCUUAGUGCUUAGAACCGUGCCUGGCACAGAAUAAGCACUUAAUAAAUGCCAUUAAACAAAAUCAGUGGUACUUACCGAGUGCUUACUUUAUCGAGCACUCAAUAGUGUCCAUAACACUGCAAAAGCACUUGGGAGAGAACAAUGCGAGUGUCGGUAGACACAAUCUAAUCUAGUGGCUUCAAGGAACUGGCUUCCCAUCCUGUCUUACAGUCAAUCAAAGGUAUUUACUGAGUGCUUACUAUGUGCAGAGCACCAUAUUAAGCACUUGGGAGAGUACAAUAGAACAGAAUCUUCCCGGCCUGGCAGCCAAAGAUCGAG